AUUGAACGCUGGCGGAAUGCUUUACACAUGCUAGUCGAACGGCAGCACGGACUUCGGUCUGGUGGCGAGUGGCGAACGGGUGAGUAAUGUAUCGGAACGUGCCCAGUCGUGGGGGAUAACGUAGUGAAAAUUACGCUAAUACCGCAUACGACCUAUGGAUGAAAGCGGGGGAUCGCAAGACCUCGCGCGAUUGGCGCGGCCGAUAUCAGAUUAGGUAGUUGGUGGGGUAAAGGCCCACCAAGCCAACGAUCUGUAGCUGGUCUGAGAGGACGACCAGCCACACUGGAACUGAGACACGGUCCAGACUCCUACGGGAGGCAGCAGUGGGGAAUUUUGGACAAUGGGCGAAAGCCUGAUCCAGCCAUUCCGCGUGCAGGAUGAAGGCCCUCGGGUUGUAAACUGCUUUUGUACAGAACGAAAAGGUCUCUACUAAUACUAGGAGCUCAUGACGGUACUGUAAGAAUAAGCACCGGCUAACCACGUGCCAGCCGCCGCUGUAA
rnacentral:rRNA from 1 species